rnacentral:tRNA from 1 species
CCUGCGAUAGCUCAGUUGGUAGAGCGAUGGACUGUAGAUCCAGAGGUCGCUUGUUCAAAUCCGGUCGAAGGA